rnacentral:pre_miRNA from 13 species
CCAGAUCUUGCCCGGUGGUGAAAUAUCUUGCUGUGGCCUCCAAAUGUUGGUACCAAGCAAGUUACAGAGAAAUGAUAAACUUUGAGACAAAUUAAAGAGUUCUUUAUUAA